GCCUUCUUAACCACACCGACCUGUGGCCACGAUCCCAGACCUCGCCUCUCCUCCUUCGGGCGGAGUUGUCGAGUGUUCCUGGUCGAACGUGCGUCCAUUUCGACACCUCAGGGAGCCAUUACAACAAUUAAUGUCAAUUUCUGGUCGACAGGUCGAAGAUCGAAUUUCCGAGUAGUCUUUUCAGUUCUCUCGCAAGGGAGGACCGGUUGGCAGCGCUCGUCCUGUCUUCUUCGGAAGGUGGGAUUUGUAGUACUCCGGCUGAAGGCGAAAGGGGAUGCACCCGCUAUUCCCAAUCGUGUGGCAUUUAUCCCGUUGGGAGAUGGGUCAUGGGAAAAACCAGCGGUGUUUUGUGUACAGAC
rnacentral:sRNA from 1 species